UACAGAGGGUGCGAGCGUUGUCCGGAAUCACUGGGCGUAAAGGGCGCGUAGGCGGCCCCAGUACGCGUGCCGUGAAAGCCCGGGGCUCAACCCCGGGUCGGCGGUGCGAACGGGGGGCUGGAGCCGAGCAGAGGCGGGGGGAAUUUCGGGUGGAGCGGUGGAAUGCGUAGAGAUCGGGAAGAACACCGGGGGCGAAGGCGGCCCGCUGGGAUCGAGCUGACGCUGAGGCGCGACAGCGUGGGGAGCAAACAGG
rnacentral:rRNA from 1 species